CACACACACACACACACACACACACAGCUCAGCGGCUUGUGAGGAAAAAACAAUCGUAAAUGAACAGCUUGAGACGGACGUCUGUGACUGUCUUUCUACUGGGACACAACGUGAAUUUGACGUAAACAUUUGUCCAUCUUUGUUUCAAACGACCUAAGAUUGUGUUUAUUUCCAUCCUGAGAAUGCUUCCUCUGCCACUGACACUUGUGUUGUCGUAAUCCUGGCAGUGCCAUGCAUCCACGCAGGUCUUUAGGCAAGCCCCGCCCACUUGACUCCCAUGAUCUGAGGUCCCAAUUUCACUGGAGAUGAAUGAAUGGUUGUCUGUGAGCUGUAGUGGUGGUGGUGUCAUGAUAUGGGCUUGCUUCAAAGAUGACAUUUAUUCAGACAUGCUUUCCUUUGUCAAGAGGUGUCAGGAUUCCAAAACCGUAAGAGUAUCUGAGAGGUUCUACGGUUCUACAUCUGUGGGGAUUUUUAAAUGUAAAUUAAAGACUUAUCUUUCAAACUCCUUUUCAUUCCAGAGUCUUCAGAUAUUUGACCCAUGGUUAGGGACCUCCCCCCCUCAGUCCAAAAUUGAGGUUUUAGGUGUUCCCAACUCGAUGCUGUUCCAAUUACAUCAAGGCUCCUCAACCUCCAGGCUGCAAACCGGUAUCGGUCCCGUACCGGUAUGCGGACUGCACCGAUGUCCUAACCUUAAUCUUAACACAGUACUGAACGUAGAUCAGUUCUGGACCCGGACCAUCCUUGGGUUAGGGUGCUGGUACCGGCCUUGUCUCAAAGUUUGGUCUGCGUUUGACAAAACUGGAAUUGGAACAGCCAAAACAUGAUGAGUUCGGGACACCUAAAAGAUCAAACAGUGACACGGAGGGGUCCUUACCAAAUAUCAAUAUGACGAUUUAGGGAUGAGAAUGUGUUGAUCUUUAUAACUCAACAUUUAUACACUGUUAAAAUAAGCCCUUCAAAAAAAGUAAAAAAAAAAAUCUUACCCCAUUGGCAGAUUGUCUUUAAAUAAGCAAAAAAUAAGGACAAGUAGUCUUAACCAGAAUCUUUAUUUUAAGAAAAAAAUUCUAGUCUUUUAAGAUGUUUUCUUAAGCUAAGAUUGUUUUGCUUUUUUUAAUUGUAAAGCUUUAUUGAUAAAAUUAUUUUUAUUGCAAGAUAGAAAAUAAGAUUUUUGAAAUAAGUCUUUUUUUAUAUUAACCAAGACUCUGCUUUUCCAGUCUAUAAUUUCAUUUAUUUGGCUUUUAAGUAUUUUAUGGCUUUUAUUGUUUACCAUUUUAUUUUUUUUUUUGUUUAUUAACCUUUAUUUAACCAGGAAGUCCCAUUGAGCUUAAUACAUCUCCUUUACAAGGGAGUCCUGGCCAAGAGGUGACAAAACAUUAAUUACCGUUAACAAAGAAACAACUAUUUUGAACAUUCAUCACCUUUUCAAUCUUUUAACCCUUUAUAACCAUUUGAUACGCGUAAUUCUAAGACCCCAUCUCAUUAGCAUUAUUGAAACUUUCCUUAAAAACCUGUAUUCUAUGACUUGCUCCAUGUUUUCUGCAGUACAUCAUCAUUCCACUAGAGGCAGUAAACGGGUAAAAUGGCUAUCCUAAUGACAUCUUAAACAGUGCCAAUUUUCAACAAUUUAGCUUAAAAUUAGAUCGAUUGUUUUUUUUUCUCUAAAAGACUAUUUGCUGUAUUGAAAAAAAUUCUAAAUUUGUUGAUUAAAUAUUUAUGAUAAAGUUCCACCAUGUUAAAAAUGUGCGGAUCAAAGUUGAGGCGAUGACUAAAUGAGGUGCUUUUAUUUUCCUGAACAAUAUUUUACCAAGUCACACAUUGUAUCAUGAUUGAUUUUUAAAUAUGAUAAAAAAUGAAUGUUCUGUUAUUUCUUUGACAUGGUGGACUUUACAGUGUUAAUCUUUAAGAUUCUCAAUCUUAUAUCUCAGCGUUUUCGACCGUCUUAUGUUUGUCUUUUGGUAGUUGUUUUUAGACUAUUGUAUUUCAUGACUUCUUAACUUGUGUUUAUUAAGUCAAGCACCUUGUGUUCUACACAUGAUGAAAGUUGUGUCACAUCUUGAGGUUUGGUACACAUUAGUGUCUACAUGGGGUUUCAGUGUAAAAACGGACUCAGACUGAAAACAAUUGUUACAUCCCAACACUCAAUGAAUCCACAGAUACACAAAGUCUGAGAAAAAAGAAGAAAACUUGGAGCUCCGCUGCUGCAGCAUCUGAGAAGAGAAAUCCGAGUCAAAUGCCAGCUGUUCAUUGCAGUUUGUUGUAACCAAAAACCAAACAUAGAAACAUCUCGUUAACCUCCUCCUCUGUGACUGACUUUGCCCUGCACACUUUGUCUCCUCAAACAAAUUAGAAAAAAGGAACGGAAACCACUGACUGAACAAGGAAAAGUCAUUUCCAUCUUUUUUCCUCUCCUGUGGCAUUAAAGCUGUUGAGUGUCAGCCAACACAUUUCCCAACAAACAGUCCUCUGAGUGAUUUGCAAUUUUCUCUUCUCUCUUUUUCUCUUAUUUUUUUCCCCCGAACGGCCACUGAACCCGUAACUCGGCAGUGUAUGCACCAGCAAACAUGCUGAUACGAUCUUAAAGGUCAUGUUCUUUUCACGUUGACAGAGGCCUUCCAAAACUUUGAUGGGGGGGCGGGGGUCCCUCUAAAGGAUAGCGCUGCUGCCCUACAGCCGCAGCAGCUGGAGCUGUAAGCAGACUGAUUAAUGCUCCACAUGAAGAACGCUGCGUUUCAGGGUUUUCUAGCGUGUCAGGUGUGUGCAUCUCCAGAGUGUAUGAAGCCCUGAGGGCAGCCUGGGGGCUCGCCUCCAGCAGCUGUUCCAACACGGACAAGAGCAAGACAUGCAAAGACUAUAUCCUGCAGCCAAGCGAUCAAAACACACACGCUGACAUGGAAUGUAGGUGCACUAACCUUUUCAAAAGCAUGCGAGGCGGCACAAAAAAAAUUACAGAGACAACCUGGCAUUGAAUGCCAACAUACAAGAACUCCCAUCUCUGUCUUACAAGGUCGCUGCUUUGCAGCUCAACUCCUUAAGGCAAAAAGAUGUUAUUUUUUAACUCAAAGCGUCUGGAAGUUUGUUACUUUGCUUCUUCCUUCAUAGAACUGAGAAAUUCCAAAUGUAAGAGAUUUAUAAAGAAGAGAAACUCAUCAA